rnacentral:rRNA from 2 species
UCCGGUGGCUAUAGCGAAGAGGACACACCCGUUCCCAUCCCGAACACGGAAGUUAAGCUCUUCAGCGCUGAUGAUACUUGGCGGGAGACCGCCCGGGAAAGUAGGUCGUCGCCGGGU